AGUGAACGCUGGCGGUAGGCCUAACACAUGCAAGUCGAACGGCAGCACAGUAAGAGCUUGCUCUUACGGGUGGCGAGUGGCGGACGGGUGAGGAAUACAUCGGAAUCUACUUUUUCGUGGGGGAUAACGUAGGGAAACUUACGCUAAUACCGCAUACGACCUACGGGUGAAAGCAGGGGAUCUUCGGACCUUGCGCGAUUGAAUGAGCCGAUGUCGGAUUAGCUAGUUGGCGGGGUAAAGGCCCACCAAGGCGACGAUCCGUAGCUGGUCUGAGAGGAUGAUCGGCCACACUGGAACUGAGACACGGUCCAGACGCCUACGGGAGGCAGCAGUGGGGAAUAUUGGACAAUGGGCGCAAGCCUGAUCCAGCCAGACCGCGUGGGUGAAGAAGGCCUUCGGGUUGUAAAGCCCUUUUGUUGGGAAAGAAAAGCAGCAGGUUAAUACCCCGCUGUUCUGACGGUACCCAAAGAAUAAGCACCGGCUAACUUCGUG
rnacentral:rRNA from 1 species